rnacentral:rRNA from 1 species
GACGAACGCUGGCGGCGUGCUUAACACAUGCAAGUCGACAUGAGUGGCGAACGGGUGAGUAAUACGUGGGUAACCUGCCCUCCUUUUUGGGAUAAGCCUUGGAAACGGGGUCUAAUACCGAAUAAAGGGGGCUGGGCUCGCGGCCUAUCAGGUUGUUGGUGGGGUGAUGGCCUACCAAGGCGUGGACGGGUAGCCGGCAUGAGAGGUUGACCGGCAACAUUGGGACGGGGGAGCGGCCCAGGGUAGUACGGGAGGCAGAAGUGUGGGCUAUUGCCCAAUGGGUGAAAGACUGAUGCAGCGUCGUCGCAGGGGGGAUGAAGGCUUUAGAGUUGUAAACCUCGUUCGGUAUGGAACGGGUAGGUGGAGAAGAAGCGCCGGCUAACUACGUGCCAGCCGCCGCGGUAAUAC